CCCAGCUGCUGUGGCCCCAAGCCAUUUCUCCGGGGAAGACACCCCAGCCCCACUGGAGGCCACCACUGGGCACCUCUCAAACUCUAAGCCAGACGAAGGGAUGUGUCCUGAGCAGUGGGCCCAACAGCACCCAGGUAGCCUGGUCCUCCUAGGAGAGAGCACUGGAGAGGGAGUCCAGCGGCCACCUUUGUAGAGUCUGUAUCUUUCUGAACUCAGUCUCUUCCACAUCCACACACCAGGAUCACAGGCAGGAGACGUGCCCGGUCUUCACAGCCCACAAACCGUAACCAGUCGUAUACUUCCAGUGGGGACGAAGCUCUGUCCUUUUUCCACCGCGUUCCAGCCCUCGGCACAGGGCCUGAUAAAAAACCCACUUCGGAAUGGAGCCAAUGGGAGGAAAGCAGAGGUAGAUGUGGACGGAGACAAAGCCUUUGUGAUACUGCUCACUUGAGCACCUGGAUCCAGCCAUGCCUGAAACUGGUCAUCCACCCCUGGACGUUCCACUCAUGAUGGCCAGCCAGAAGGCCCAGAAGCCACCGGGCAAGAAGCACUCCCAGGAGAUGCGGGCACCCGGCCUUUCCGGCUUUGCAGAGGCGUGGCCAAUGUGUCCCAAUAACCAUCUCCACCUCCAUUUUUAUUCUGCUGAGUUAUGCAGAGUCAGUUUCUGUGGCUUGAAACUGAAGAAUCCCAGCCUCGUACGGUCUUUCUAGAAGGAGGAGCCAGCCAAGAACCAUUGCUGUCCCGCUAGGGAAAGUCUCUUUAGUUGGAGACUUGAGAAAAGAGAGGUCGUGAUGUAAUGUGUGCCUUCGUGCUGGUCGCAGUCAGAAAACCUUGAAAAGCCGCUGCCUCAGACGACGUGCCCUUUGUUCGCCAGCAGGGGCAAGACAGCUGGCAGGGAAGGAGCUUCCUGUCUGCCUGGGCUCCCUGCUCACACACCCGGACCAAAGGCUCGGGCCACACCCAGCUGGGGGCCCCCACCCCAGCAACCGCACAGCGCCCGUCACACCUCUCCGUCCUCCAGGUUCCCUGUUCUUUCAGCCUCACGCCCAACCCUGCCUUCACUCCGGGAGGCCCUGUCGAAAUGACACUUCCUCUGGCCAUCAACCCACAGGGGGCCAGGCAGGCUGUCCCCUUCCGCUGUCGGCCGUCCCACAGUCUGCUGGAGCGCAGCGCUCUCACCCUGUCAGUCAACUGCUCCACCAUCAGCGGCUUGGCACACUCUGAUUCACUGGGCGGAUGGAACUGUUCGCUUAAAAUGAAUGAACGAAUGAUUGAUUGAAGGUUGACUUGCUCUGGGGCGGGGGUCCUGGUGCGGAGGCUCGCUGCUUUAAUCGUCAUCCAAGGAUUGCUGUGUACCUACUAGGCACCACGCACGCAAGCGACCGGGGACACUAGACCGACCAGAAUAGGAUGGCUUCCCUCGAGGAGCUCACGGUCCGGUGAAAGAGACAGGCAUGUGAAUUACCACCCAGAUAAGAGCCCCAGAUGAAGACAUUGGCGAGAGGACCCCACCUUGCUGGGAACACUGUAUCACAACUCCCCCACUAGCCAGUGAACUCCAGGAGAGAUGGCUGGACCCUGCCUGCAUUGCACGUCACCACUGUGGAGCUCUUUCUGGUGUCGCAUACUAACGCGUUCAAUAUUUACUUAAUGAAUAUUCAGGAAGCUGCAAAUGGUGCAUGUUGACCUGAGAGGAAAGUGGGAGGAAAGUGCUAGGAAGAGGCGCUGAGCAGUCUGUGGGGCCCCGGACCGCGGAAGGCACGUCAGCCCUGCAAAGGUCUGGGUCUUUCUCCUGCAGGCACUGGGGAGGCCAUGGAGGAGUUUCAGCGGUCUAGAAAAUUCCUUUGGCUCUGGUGUGCCGGGUGGGUGCCUGUGGCCCAGGAGGGCAGCUGAGAAAGCAAAUGCAGAAGUAACCCAGGCGAGGAGACUUGAGUCUAGAGACAGCCGGCUGGGGCGCGCUGGCGUGGAGGCAUUUGCGUGCUGCAGAUGCGUGCUACGACGCGAGGACGCUGGCCAGUCAGGCUCUGAGAUCCCACCUCCUCCGGCCACACCGUCCCCUGCUGGGGCAGGGUCCAGUCCCCAGGAGGUUCCUGCCAAACGUCAGCCACUGCUAGCAAACUCAAGAGCUUUGCCUUGGCACUCUUUGUACCCUUAUCUUAUUCUUCUCGUUAAAAAUCAGCUCCUGUUUUGGGUGCCUGGGUGGCUCGGUUGGUUAGGCGACCGACUUCGGCUCAGGUCAUGAUCUCACGGUUUGUGAGUUCGAGCCCUGCGUCGGGCUCUGUGCUGACAGCUGGGAGCCUGGAGCCUGCUUCGGAUUCUGUGUCUCCCCCCCGUCGUGCAGCUCACACUCUUGUCUCUCAACGAUAAAUAAACGUUAAAAAGAUUUAUAAAAAUUUUUUAAAACAUCAGCUCCUGUUUUAACGCACUUAUUUAUGAACAUUACAUGAAUCUAUGCAGGGUCUAUGCCCUUGUGUGUAUUUCUGCACAUUUUCAUACUAAAAAACAUUAAAGUGAAUAUUAUGUCACCA